rnacentral:tRNA from 1 species
GGGGAGGUGGCAGAGUGGUCGAAUGCGACGGUCUUGAAAACCGUUGGACGUGCAAGCGUCCCCAGGGUUCGAAUCCCUGUCUCCCCGCCA